rnacentral:lncRNA from 1 species
GGUUUUUAAAAAUUGUGAGAAUGAUUGCUAAUGUCUGGCUCUCACUUUAUUAAGAGGACAUGGGAGCCUUUGAAAGAUGGCUUGCCUGUCUACCUAGGGCUGACCCCCAGGUCCAGAUUUGAGAGUCCGGGCUGGCUGACUGCUGGGUGGCUUUGGUAGAAGCUGGCUUGUCUUCUGGUUCCAUUUUUCUCUCCACCGCAGUAUCUUGGGUUACUCUGGAAAACUAUGCGAUGCCCAUGUGCACACCCAGUUAAAGGGCAUUCGAGUCUUUGCAUGUAGAAAUUUCAUAAAUAGAAUAUGUAAUGAGCCAUGCAUGUCUUAUCGCUAAGGAAUCCAGGGGAAUCUGAAACUUGGAUGACAAAGUCUCUUACGGGUCUUUCCUUCUCACACCGCUUGAUACAGCACGACUAUCUUGAAGUCAGCCAGCGACCUGCAGAGGCGGUCUUUCCAUCUGUUUCAGAAAACCCGGUGGCUUGUGCAGCCUGGGAAACUUGCCCACAGCCAUCCCACGUGGUGAGUCAGCUCUCUGGCUCCAUUAUCUACUGUCUCUUCCCAGAUGUGACUCCCUGUUUAGGAGCAAGCAAAGUUAUGGGGACCCAGGGGAGAAGCAGACACUCCCCUAAUGCACAAUCCUGCUGAGAAUUUACCCAAACCCAAGGAGGUGGAGAUGGAGUAGAGCUUGAGUCCUUUCCAAGACUGUUAACUGAAGAUUUCUGUUGUGACAUCACAUAGAAUUUUGACUAGCAUUCACCAAGGAUGAACUGAAAGCAGGAUCUGUCUCACCAUACGCUGAGAACUGUAGAAUACGCAAGGCACAUGGAACUUAUUUUCUUACGUAUGAAAGCGUGUAUAUGCUCCUUUCACAUCUGUUCUAAUGCUUUCCAACAGUCCUCACUCUAAGCCUCACCAAGACCCAGAUGAGGAAACAAAGGCACAGAGGGUACAUUGAAGGAGGUCAGUUUGGAGAACCACAGUGUAGACACUUACUCUCUCUCCUUUGUGUUUCGGAUAAACUCAGAGCAGGAAGACAGCAAGGAAUAGCAGUGAAAAGCAUGGUGCUUAAUCCAACCCCUUACUCACUGCUGAGACCUGGAAAUGUGUUCAUCAGCUACAAAACAGGAGAGAUGAUAACUCAUUAUGUAUGUGUGAUGAUAAACAGAGACAAUAUAUUGAAGAGCUUACAUGAGUGGCGGACAUGGGACAUGCUUCCCUGUGGCUGGCCAGCCUGUCAUCUUCUCCACCAUGUGUCCAGAGAAAAGCUUUGCAAAUCAAACUCUCGAUGAAUGAUGAUGGCACCAGUGAAAUCAGGGGAGGCAGAAAAUCAUGUUAGUUUGGUUUAUAAUGCAAGAAGUUACAGAACACAGAGUGCUCAAAACUAAGAAUGUGCUAGUUGUAUAACAGGGUCCUUCUUGGGACUCAGCCAGGAUUCAAACUAUAAAGGAAAAUCGGGUGAGCAGGUGGGAUAGUCAAGUGAUUCUAUUUGCAUGAAUGAAUUUGUGAGAUGAUACCUUCUUGUCCAGGAACAUUGAGCAGUGCUCGUGCUGGGUGGAUUGUGAUGUGGAAACCCUGGGAGAUGUCACGUCUGACGUCAACUUUCUCCCAGGUGACAGCUGCACCCUCUAAAGGCUUCUCAAGUGACAGAGCUCAAUGAAUAUAGAAGGGAAAAAUAUGAGGAUGACCUAUGAGCACAGGGUGGACAGUCUCUGCGGUGGGCAGGCAUUAGCAAAGGAGAGACCUUCUGUAUUAUGCAGGUAUGUGCAAGAACCAAAGAAAAUAACUGUCAUGAGAAUUCUGACCUCAUUAAUACCCACAGACUAGAGACACCAGGAAUCUAAGCUUGCAAAAGCAUAAGGGAACAUAAGGGUUGUGUUCUCUUGCCCUUGGGGCACAGCUUUUCACCACAUUUUGUACUAAUUUAACCAUGAUGCAGAUCGAA